AGGGUUUGAUUCUGGCUCAGGAUGAACGCUAGCGACAGGCUUAACACAUGCAAGUCGAGGGGCAGCGGUGUUGAAGGCUUGCCUUCAACAGCCGGCGACCGGCGCACGGGUGAGUAACACGUAUGCAACCUGGCCGUCACAGGAGGAUAACCGGUAGAAAUGCCGCCUAAUACUCCAUGAUACUCUCAGGGGACAUCCCCUGAGGGUCAAAGGAAUUUAUUCCGGUGACGGAUGGGCAUGCGGCGCAUUAGCUAGUCGGCGGGGUAACGGCCCACCGAGGCGACGAUGCGUAGGGGUUCUGAGAGGAAGGUCCCCCACAUUGGAACUGAGACACGGUCCAA
rnacentral:rRNA from 1 species